rnacentral:rRNA from 1 species
GACGAACGCUGGCGGCGUGCUUAACACAUGCAAGUCGAACGGAAAGGCCCUGCUUGCCGGGUACUCGAGUGGCGAACGGGUGAGUAACACGUGGGUGAUCUGCCCUGCACUUCGGGAUAAGCCUGGGAAACUGGGUCUAAUACCGGAUAGGAGCCAUUUUUAGUGUGAUGGUUGGAAAGUUUUUUCGGUGUAGGAUGAGCUCGCGGCCUAUCAGCUUGUUGGUGGGGUAAUGGCCUACCAAGGCGGCGACGGGUAGCCGGCCUGAGAGGGUGGACGGCCACAUUGGGGCUUGGAAUCGGCCCAGACUCCUACGGGAGGCAGCAGUGGGGAAUAUUGCACAAUGGGCGCAAGCCUGAUGCAGCGACGCCGCGUGGGGGAUGACGGCCUUCGGGUUGUAAACUCCUUUCGCUAGGGACGAAGCUUUUUGUGACGGUACCUAGAUAAGAAGCACCGGCUAACUACGUG